AACGAACGCUGGCGGCAGGCUUAACACAUGCAAGUCGAGCGCCCCGCAAGGGGAGCGGCAGACGGGUGAGUAACGCGUGGGAAUCUACCCAUCUCUACGGAAUAACGCAUGGAAACGUGUGCUAAUACCGUAUACGUCCUUCGGGAGAAAGAUUUAUCGGAGAUGGAUGAGCCCGCGUUGGAUUAGCUAGUUGGGGGGGUAAAGGCCUACCAAGGCGACGAUCCAUAGCUGGUCUGAGAGGAUGAUCAGCACACUGGGACUGAGACACGGCCCAGCCUCCUACGGGAGGCAGCAGUGGGGAAUAUUGGACAAUGGGCGCAAGCCUGAUCCAGCCAUGCCGCGUGAGUGAUGAAGGCCCUAGGGUUGUAAAGCUCUUUCACCGGUGAAGAUAAUGACGGUAACCGGAGAAGAAGCCCCGGCUAACUUCGUGCCAGCAGCCGCCGUAAAAC
rnacentral:rRNA from 1 species